UGUAUUAAUGUGCCUUCCUUUUCGCUGAGCAUGAGACACUCUGCCACAGCCUACAGAAUGAGUGUGGAGCUGGUGGCCUCUGUGAUUCAGGGUCAGGUUGUGGCUGUAUUCUACACAGAGAAGGCUGGGGCAUGUCAGCAGUUGGACCAGAGCCAGGAGCUGCCUCACAACACCCCUUCAUCACAAAUCGUUACUACAGACCAUGGUUUUCCUGACCUCAGUGCUAGUCAUGGGUGGGCUGUUCUUCCUCUGCUGCCUUGUCCUCUUCCUGGGGGUGAAAGAGCUGCGGAGGCUGGUCUUCUUCCACCUGUACCCCAUCAACGAGGAAUGACGCCUCCAGCUCCAGAGAGAGCAAGGCAGAGAUGUUGAAGCCAUACAUUCAACUGAUAGAGGAGAUGGGCUCAACACGCAGUCGUCAGUCAAGACGCCAACCACCUUUUUAUUUAUUUUAAUUUUAUUUAGCCUUUACUUAUCUAGGCAAGUCAGUUAAGAACAAAUUCUUAUUUACAAUGCCAGCCAAACCUGAACGACGCUGGGCCAAUUGUGGGACGCCCAAUCACGGCCGGAUGUGAUAGACUGGAUUCGCACCAGAGGCUGUAAAAUAUAUUUUGAUUUUGGUUACUACAUGAUUACAUAGGUUUUAUUUCAUAGUUUUGAUGUCUUCACUAUUAUUCUACAAUGUAGCAAAUAGUACAAAUAAAGAGAAAUCCUUGAAUGCCCUCCAUACUUCCAAUUGUUUGUAUGGGUUACCUUCAG
ensembl:lncRNA